rnacentral:rRNA from 1 species
ACAUUGGGACUGAGAUACGGCCCAGACUCCUACGGGAGGCAGCAGUGGGGAAUAUUGCACAAUGGGCGCAAGCCUGAUGCAGCGACGCCGCGCGCGGGAUGACGGCCUUCGGGUUGUAAACCGCUUUUGACUGGGAGCAAGCCCUUCGGGGUGAGUGUACCUUUCGAAUAAGCACCGGCUAACUACGUGCCAGCAGCCGCGGUAAUACGUAGGGUGCAAGCGUUAUCCGGAAUUAUUGGGCGUAAAGGGCUCGUAGGCGGUUCGUCGCGUCCGGUGUGAAAGUCCAUCGCUUAACGGUGGAUCCGCGCCGGGUACGGGCGGGCUUGAGUGCGGUAGGGGAGACUGGAAUUCCCGGUGUAACGGUGGAAUGUGUAGAUAUCGGGAAGAACACCAAUGGCGAAGGCAGGUCUCUGGGCCGUCACUGACGCUGAGGAGCGAAAGCGUGGGGAGCGAACAGGAUUAGAUACCCUGGUAGUCCACGCCGUAAACGGUGGAUGCUGGAUGUGGGGACCAUUCCACGGUCUCCGUGUCGGAGCCAACGCGUUAAGCAUCCCGCCUGGGGAGUACGGCCGCAAGGCUAAAACUCAAAGAAAUUGACGGGGGCCCGCACAAGCGGCGGAGCAUGCGGAUUAAUUCGAUGCAACGCGAAGAACCUUACCUGGGCUUGACAUGUUCCCGACAGCCCCAGAGAUGGGGCCUCCCUUCGGGGCGGGUUCACAGGUGGUGCAUGGUCGUCGUCAGCUCGUGUCGUGAGAUGUUGGGUUAAGUCCCGCAACGAGCGCAACCCUCGCCCUGUGUUGCCAGCACGUCGUGGUGGGAACUCACGGGGGACCGCCGGGGUCAACUCGGAGGAAGGUGGGGAUGACGUCAGAUCAUCAUGCCCCUUACGUCCAGGGCUUCACGCAUGCUACAAUGGCCGGUACAACGGGAUGCGACCUCGUGAGGGGGAGCGGAUCCCUUAAAACCGGUCUCAGUUCGGAUCGGAGUCUGCAACCCGACUCCAUGAAGGCGGAGUCGCUAGUAAUCGCGGAUCAGCAACGCCGCGGUGAAUGCGUUCCCGGGCCUUGUACACACCGCCCGUCAAGUCAUGAAAGUGGGUAGCACCCGAAGCCGGUGGCCCAACCUUUUGGGGGGAGCCGUCGAAGGUGAGACUCGUGAUUGGGACUAAGUCGUAACAAGGUAGCCGUACCGGAAGGUGCGGCUG